AGAAUGUUAUUCUGAAGCCCUGAGCUCAGAAGUGACUAUCGAUUGCCCAGUUUCUUGUUUCCAACAGCCAAAGGCAGAAGAUUCUUCCAUCGUUUUAUACUAAGGGCACUAAAUAUAACAUGAGGUAACGUGACGGCACCCCAGAUAUCUACCCCGGGAUUCCCGUUUUUCACUCUCGCAAUGUCUGGCCAGUGUAACCGGCAGCACUGAAUUUGCAGGUUGCUGACCAUCUGCCCCCUGUUUUUGGAGCAGCUGCAUGUAACUGCGUCAACAUUCCCGUAAGCUCACAGAUUGUGUUCUUGGAACCUGGUUGGUAACGGUGUCCAAGAACACAAUUUAAACCAGAUUUUCCAGGUAAUAAUUGUGUCCAAGAACACUAAGAACUUAAUAGCACUUUCUACAUUCUGUGGGCUUUCCGUUUAC